UAGGGAAUCUUCCACAAUGGACGAAAGUCUGAUGGAGCAACGCCGCGUGAGUGAAGAAGGUUUUCGGAUCGUAAAGCUCUGUUGUUGGUGAAGAAGGAUAGAGGCAGUAACUGGUCUUUAUUUGACGGUAAUCAACCAGAAAGUCACGGCUAACUACGUGCAG
rnacentral:rRNA from 1 species